rnacentral:rRNA from 1 species
GUUGACCUCGGAUCAGGUAGGAAUACCCGCUGAACUUAAGCAUAUCAAUAAGCGGAGGAAAAGAAACCAACAGGGAUUGCCCUAGUAACGGCGAGUGAAGCGGCAACAGCUCAAAUUUGAAAUCUGGCCGCAAGG